UACAGACUUCUAUAGUAGGGUCACUUUUGAAGAAGAACUGCGGCAUUUCAACCUCGUCUACCAAGACAGCGUGUACUGGUUUCCAGUUGAAGAGAACGUUUUCCACCGUGUAGCCAUCUACAACACAGAGUACCUACUUCGGACAAUGCCUGUAGUAAUUUAAAAGUAGUUCUCAACGCAAAUUGGGAAUUGUUGAUUAUCAAUGUGGUCGGCUUAAAACAGAACAAAUUGGCGACAAGGAUGAAAAUCUAAGGUUGCUGAUUUGGUAGAAAUAUAUCGGUCUUGUGAAGUACAUGUAUAGUGAUCUUGAUUACAUGGAUUAUAAUCCAAUCUUGGACAUCCCUGGACAAAGGCCAUACAUUUCUCGGAUUGAUCAUGACAAUCGGAUCAUCACUCAGCCUUUACCAUUUAGUCGAGAGAAAAAAACUUUGGAGGUAAUAAGUCACCCUUUUGGAUAUAACAUUAUUGGGGACUCGACAUAACGGCCGAUUUCGACAACGCUAUAAAUAGGUUUAUUCUUCUUUGUGAAUUCCGCUUGACAACGGACAAACAACGAACACCUGUUUAUAAACUUGAGUUACUGUAAUUUAGUAUUUAUAACUACAGUUGUGAAUAAAUUGUUAAAUCUUUAACUUUUUGCUGGACUUGGGUUAUUCUGACAUAUAAUAAUAGGGUAAUAGAAAGUAUGUAGAAUAGAAAACAGAGCCGAUGAAAGCUGACAUUGGAUUUACAACAGAGAGAAAAAAAUCAUUAGAGACAAUCUGGAAUGACGUGAACGUAUCUGAAAUAUGUACAUGCAGUGGGAUUGAAGAUAAAAGAAAUGUACGACAUAUUUUUCUAAAUAAUGGUACAUGCAUUUUUAUUUACGCAAAAAUGUAAAUGGAAAAUAGCUAUUUUUAUUAUCAUUUUCAAUCAUUGUCACAUGUUAGGUUAAGUAGACAUGCCGAUCCCUUCACGAAGAAAAACAAGUUCAGCAUGUUGACUGUAAAUACUUAAAGGAUUUCUAAGCGAAACUUUUGGAACGAGGCCUGUGCAGUAGCAGCCAUUAGCGAUGAGUGAAUGUAUUCUUUGCAUCACUAGGUAUGAGGGAAUAGGGAGUUGAAAACACUAGUGACAAAUCACUGAACAGUGUAUCAUUAAAUUCUGCAGUUAACACGCUAUGUUAUUUACUUUAAACAUACGCAAUACUAGAAACAAGUAAUAAAUUAGAACUGAUAGAUUUAUAAGAUUAAAAUGUUCUAAAGAGGCCAAGAAA